GGGCGGGACCUGGAAGCCACCCGCGGAAGCAGUUGCAGGGGCUUCUGGGGAAUGUAGUUCUUCCGGCGAAUGGGCAGGGGAGACAGAGACUUCGCUCCGGAACCACAUCUUGUUUUAUGCAUAGGUGUUUUAUGAAAAGAGAGGGUAGCCGUCAUUGAAAUAGCCAUUGCGUUGGUAAAUUAACCGCGCGGCCAGGAAGUGGCUCUCAGGGCGACCACUGGAAGGCGGGGGUCUGCGGGGAUUGUGGGAACUGUAGUUCUGGCGUCGUUGAGCGGCGGAGGGCUGGACUGCCCUGUACCGCUGCUGCUGGUGAGCGAGGCCUGCACCGCUGCUUCCCCCAGCGGGAAGGAGGGUCUGGAAAGGCGUGGUCUAGGGCUGGGGCCCGGGGUGCGGUGCAGCUGGUGGGGGAGUGCGGCGGCUCAGGCCGGGGGUUCGGAAGGCUUCAUUUCUGGAGGAGGGGGCGCGGCUGGAGGCGUGCACUCGGGGCGGGUACAUGGGGUGAGACUCAGCCAGCAUGGAUGCCUGAGGUGAUGGGCGCUGCGCGGACCUUCCUUUCUCGGCUGGGGCGAGUGACCUGGAACUCUAAUUUCUUUUUUGAGGAGGUCCUGACUUCUUGGAAACAGGAUGGGCGUUUACAAGUCAGGUUCGGAAAAGUCACCCCAGGCAGCAGAAAUCCAUCUUGAGAUGAAAUACCUUCUACCUGGCCCUCUGGCAGAAUUUCAAGGCAAACGCUGGGCUGGCUCUGGGGCCAUGACAUUGCCUGAUCUUCUGCCUGGGGAGAGCAGGACCGGGAGGAGAUUUUGCCUUUGGAGAACAGGGAAGAUAUGGAAAGCAUGAAGAAAUUGACUCAGAAUCCUAAGGCCAAAGGUGAGAGUUGCUGAGGAUCUGGAGGGGUGGAGAGGGGAGCAGGGCUCCAGGUUCCGCUGAGAGUGCUUUAGGACCACAGCUUGGUAAAGGGGCUGCCUCCUCCACGGCAAGGCUUAGGGGAGCUCCUCUGGGCGCAGAAUGGGGGGUCUGGGUCUCCCAGCUGUGUUUUCUUCAACUGCGUUUGCCUCCUAACGAUACUGACUGGCUGCAAGAAAAGGAGGGAAAGCCCCCAAUACUGGUGAGUUGGGGUUAUGCUUUUUUUCCUGAGAUGCUGGGUUGUUUCCCCAAGAACAGGCAUGUAUUCUCUUUCUUGGGAAGGGAAAGGCAAUCAGCAUUUCGGCAGGUCAUGCUUGGGCCAGGUACUGUGUCAAUCACUUUAUAAUCGUUCCUGCAUUUGUGCGUUUUAUUUUCUUUGUUGAAAAAUAUACCCAAGAUUAAUAUUAAGAGUCCAGGAAACUUUUAAACAUAAGGAAUAUUUUUGAAAAACUGAGACAAUUAAAAUUUUUAAAUGUACUAUUAAAUUUCACUUCCCAUCCACACUAUCUAAUGAUAUUGCUCACUGGGCUUUUUUUACUUUUUCAUUGAAAUUUUUGAACAUAUAUCGAAAUAGAGAGCAUAGCAAUAAUGGGUCUCAGGUAGCAUCAUCUAGCUUCAGUAGUCAUGUAUAACGGCCAAUGUUAUUUUAUUUAUACCCCUCACACUUCCCUCAUUGUAUUUAAACAGAUCUCAGACGUCAUAAAUUUCUCCACAAAUUUUUCUUUUUUUAUGAAGAAGAUUCGCCCUGAGCUAACAUCCGUUGCCAAUCUUCCCUUUUUUUCGCUUGAGGAAGAUUGUCCCUGAGCUAACAUCUGUGCCAGUCUCCCUUUAUUUGGUAUGUGGGAUGCCUCCACAGAAUGGCUGAUGAGUGGAGUAGGUCCGUGCCUGGGAUCCACACCCACCAACCUGGGCUGCUGAAGUGGAGCGCACGGAAUUGUAACCACUCGGCCAUGGGGCCAGCCCCUCUCCAUACUUCUUAACAAUAGCUAUGAGAAGGUAGUGGUGGUGGUAAUAGUACUUAUUUCAGAAGGAGAAAGUCUGGCUCAAGGGGGUGCGUGAUUUGUGUCUGGCCACACUCAUCUAGUACAUGGAGGAGCCAGGAUUUAAGCUCAGUUUUCUCUGACUUGUAAGCUCCUGCAUCUUCUAAAGUAUUGUAUAACCUUCUUGCUGCCACGUAAAUCCCCUUCGAAAAAUGUGGGAGCAUAUUUUCCAACCCUCAGGAAGGGGCCUAUAUUAUUUGAUGACUGACUCAGAGAGAAUGCUCUCUCUAGAUACAGUGCUUCACCCCCAAUCCAAUCCCCCCUCAAUCUUCUCUCCUCUACCAGAAAUUUGAUGUAUUCUUUCAUUUGAAUGGGUUGUGUGAGAUUCUGUAAGCCAAACCAAUAGAUUUAUAAAUACACUAUCCUUAUCCUCAAGCCUACAGGUUCUUUGGAAAAAUAAUGUAUAAAAACAAAAGAUGAUGACAGUAAUAGUGAUUUUUAUUAUAAUGGUUGAAAUGGUUACAUAAUGGUGCAGUGAAAGUCACUGCAAAGUCCUAGCCUAAAGCUUUGAAACCAAAGUCCAGCCACUCACAGUGGACUGACAGUCAAACUCAGAGGACCCGGGAGAAGCACUUCUGGAAUGGUGGUGUGAGGAGCUCCACAGACUCUGGCCAGUGAAAUAACCCAAAUGAUAAAAACAAACCUCUGCCCAGGGACCUGCUCUUAGAGCAGAAGGGUCUCUCUUGAGAAGUGGCUUCUGGUCCUGCCGCCAGCUCCUGAGCAGCGGUGCAGAGGUCCUGCCCAGGGGGAGAGGCAGGCUGUAAGAACAGAGACCAGUACAGUGCUGCCUAAGGGGACUGGCUUUAUUUGGAACAGAGCAUAGGGAAGUCGAAGCCUAAGGGUGCUGUUAAAAACAACAGAGAUUUGGUGGCGAGCAGUAAAGAGGAAGCUGGCCAGGUGCAUGAUGACAACAAGCAAAAUGGCAGAUCAGCUAGAAGUUUAACAGAGAGAACCAGGGAGAGAGAGAGCUGAGAAGAGCCUUGCUGGGGUCAGAGCAAGUCUCACAUACUGGCCUCAAAACUUCCCCUGCAAAAGGGCCUGACUUUAAUUGGAUCAGCCCUUUAUAGCGAGGGACAUGGUUGAAACUAAUAGAGCAACCAGCCAGCGAUUCGUGGAGGCUAACAGCUGGGUGUGAUACCAAUAGAGGCAGACCAGCCAGAAGCUUAACAGGGGCAUCAAGGAGAGACACAAAGAGAGCGCAACUAAAAGGACUGUCAUUUCUGGAGGGGGAGGGUCAGAGUGACUGUGCAUGUCCAAGGCUGCACCGUCUGAGCAGUCACAUCUUCAGAGGAAAUAGCCUUUAUUGAACCAGUCCAGACAAGUCACAAAACAAAUGAACAAGCGACCACAGCAACAGCCUGGGGAGGAGGCAGGGUUGGUAUCCAGAGUUACUACAAUAUUUUACCUAAAAUGUCCAAUAUUCAACAAAGAAUUAUAUAGGUAGAUAGACGGAGAGAGAGAGGGAGAGAGAGAAAGAGAAAGAAUAUAUGAAUAUGAGAAUGAGAGAAAGCCUAAAUAAAUUUUCCUGAUACCAGUUACAUUAAGGAAUGUGGCAGUAGUCUUCAUGGAGGCAAAUGGAAGAGACUGAGCUCUGAGCAGAGGAACCUAUACAAAGAAGUGAUGCUGGAGAAUUACCGGAAUUUGCUCUUGUCGGCAGAACCAAAGCCAGAAAUCUACCCCUGUUCCUGCUGGCAUUCUCUUGUCAGCAAUUCCUCAGCCAGCAUGUGCUUCAGAUCUUCCCUGGCUCAUGUGUGGAAAAUCACUUCCAUCCAGAGGAUUCUGGCCCGGAGCCUCAGGAGCAGCAUUAUUCUGCUCAGAGUUGCUGGAGUGAAUACACGGAAGGGCAAGAGAGGGAAGGUGGCUCCAAAGCCUUGUGUGCGGGGACAGAGGAGAGAAAGACCUCAAGCUCAUUCUCUGGCCCCCCCCAAGGACCGUCCGCAAGUCCUAGAGAAGUCACCACAGUGGUAGAAAUAGAGUCCAGUUCAGCCCAAAGAGUAAACCCUGUGCAACCAGACAAAGAAUUGAAGGAAUCAGAAAUCUUGAGAUCUGGAGCAGCCAACUGUAGAGAGCAUGAACGAGACUGUAGCCCGAAAUCAAACUUCGUUACCGACCAGAUGACCCCCUUCAAGGAGAAACCCUGUUUGCAGGGAGCGUGGGUGAGGCUGUAAAGAUAAGGCAGCCCUCAUCAGAUACCACUGGACACAGUUGGUGGAGAAGCCCUAUGUGUGCAGUGACUGUGGCCAAGGCUUCAGCCUGAUGUCAGUCCUUAUUAACCCCCAGGGGACACACUCAGGGGAGAAGCCAUAUGUGUGCAAGGAGUGUGAGCAAAGCCUUAGUCAGAAGUCCAACCUCAACACAUGAGAAAAACAGAUUCAGAAAAGUCUUAUUUGUGCAAGGAGUGUGGGCGAGGCUUUAGCCAGAAGUCAGACCUUAUCAAACACGAGAGGAUACACUCAGACUAGAAGCCCUAUAUUUGCAGGGAGUGUGGGAGAGGCUCUUGUGAUCUUGAGAUUCUUGUGAGAAGGCGAGUCAGCCUUCUUCACAUGCCACAGGGAGAAUCCUUCUGUGGGAUACUGUGGAACUCUGCCCAGUUAACCUUAUCAGGGCCAGCGCCCACGCCGCUCCAGAUAACUGCUGCUGAUGGCUGCAGAGCUGACUUCCUCACUAGGACUCGUUCUCAGCCACGGGGAACUGCACCUUCCCAAGGGCUGGCUGGCUCCUUGCCAAUGAAUGAGUGAUACGGUUAGACAAAACUCCCCUUGACUCAGUUGGGACAACUCCCAAGGUUCAUCCCAGAUCCAGAGGUGCCUGUUGGACUGAAGGAUCUCUCAUUUGCAAAUACAUUGCAGGUCAGCUUCUUCCUCUGCCCAGCCCUGCCCUCAUUCCCCAAUAAACCACUCAAUUCUUCAUCUCACUGUCUCUCCAGGGAAUCCAACCUAAGACAUCUUAAGUUGACAGGGAGUGUGGACAAGGCUUUGGCUAUAAGUCACCCCUCAACAAACCCCAGAGUACACAGCAUAGAAGCUCUGUGUGUGUGUGUGUGGAGAACGGGCAAGGCCUUAGGAAAAGCACACCUCAGUGUACAUCAGAGAACAGGUUUUUUGGGAGGAAGGGAGGGAGACUGUGAGAUGCGUUAGUCAUGCCUCAUCUUGCACCAGAGGACAUACUCAGGUGAGUAGACCCGUGGGGCAAGGUGUGUGGGUGGAGCUUUAUCCUGAUGGCCCCCUCAACAGAUGAAGAGGACAGAGUCUUGCCACCACAAACCACUACCUCAUGCACCUCUGAGGGGGUUUCAGAAGUCUUGACCACCCCCAUACUCUGUAUGAGUGUGAAAAUGGCACUAAUGACUAAAUAGACAUGCUUUUCACUUUUUGUAAUCAGAUGGAAUAAAAAAGUAGAAAGCUUUAUUUAAGUAAUCUAAGAGUGAUCAACUUGUUUUAUUUUCAUACACCAGUUCUUUCCCAUGUUUUCUUGUCCUUUGUUCUAGUAAAAUCUUUACUGAGCUAAGGCUUUGUAUCUUAGUCUCUCAUUUGUCUGGAAAGGAAUUCACAUUCACAACCCAGAUUUCCUCCAUUAAUUCAACUUUUAAGAAAAAAUAAGUCUCAAAUCAAUCUAACAGGUUUGCUGGGCAUCGGAGCCUUUGCAUGAGGAGGAUGAUUUAAGUUCUGGAGACAGGCCAGCUGAAGGGAGGGAACUUCCCAGGUCUCCAGGGGCUGGGUUGCCUCUUCUCCUACCUGAUCCCUCCCUUUGACUUCUGUGCAAGCUCCCUUCCCUGGGUUUUCUCCUUCAUUCUUAUCUCUUUCAGAUCUCUGCUGAAUCCUCGACCCCAUCAAGCAUUGCUGUUCCUCAGUGGUCUGUUCACGUCCUCCAGCUCCAGGGACCCUUUAAGCAUGCUCCCUCUGCAGCCUUCCAGAUUCCAGGGUCAGGUCCUUUAGCCAGGCCCAAACUGUUAUCCAUCAUGAAUCAUGGCUCUGGGCCCCUUAGCUACUCCCCACGUCAGGUCAUAGGUCUAAAGAUCCCUGAACACAGCUCCAAUGCUGUGCCCCCUCAGCCCGCCAACCCGAGGGUCCAGUCCUGCUAAUGACACCUCCCAUCAUCCCUCUACUAACUGGUCCGAGACAGCCCAGCCGUACUGCGGCCAUUGUUUCUGAGCCCAAGGACCUGGCCCUUUAGCCACACCCAUACCUAGUCCUGCUCCCUCAGAGCCCAAUUUGCCCAGAUUUUAGACAGCUCCGCAGGCCCAGGCUCUGACUUCUACGUCCUGGGCCAGUAACUGUUUACUGGAGAGGGUCUGCCUAGGCUCUAGCAAAUUGGUUUGCCAAUUGGCCAGAUUCAUGAAAUGGACAUCAGGCUUUGAAAAUCAGAAAAAGUGCGAAGUGGUUUUGACACCCCAGCAGAGGAGGGGGCAGUAGAAGAGGGUCUGAAGGCGUCACUGACUCCAAGGUCUCUACUCACUCCCUCAGCCGUGAAGUCAGCUUUCCAGUGGGUCCUGAGUCAGCUCUGGCGAGGGCAGGUGUGAGCCCCAAGUGUGGGCCCCGCCCUUGCUCCCGUCUCCCCUCGUGCUCCUUCGCCAGAGCUACCCCUGUGACACCAACGCUUUGCUUCUGGUCUGAACUGGAAGCCAGAGAGGGACAGGUGUAUGUGGGUAGGCCCUCUACAUUCCGGAUGACCCCAAGGCCUUGCCCAUGCCUGCCAUUGGGAGAGAAAAUGCAAACAAGAAAACCAGCACCUUCCUUUGGAAAAACGGGUAUACCCUAUUCAUCAGUUUUAGUCUAGAAGUCCUUUUGGAGAAUAGCCAAACACUCAGCUGCCCUUUAAUUAAAGAGAAAUUUGGGCCAGCUUGAAACAUGAUGUUCUAGAAUCCUAAAAUGAGAAAAGGUUCUUAGAGUUCCAUCCACCGGUGUUGUAAACAGGAUGAAAGCAUUCCAUGUCUGUCUGAGUUGGGGGGCAACAGCUGAGGAUUGGAAAAUCUCACCAAGCCAGGGACACACAGGCUCAGGUAUCGCCCUCAGCUGCUGCUGAGGUGGCCCCCUAGGGCGGGUCCCAGCCUACCUGGCUUACCAGGCUCCACAGAACACUCGCUGCUGCUGGUCAUCCGUUCCCCUUUUCCUGCUCCCCACUUCCUCUGGGAACUAGAAAGCUAUUUUUUGGCUGGGAGGAAGAGAGCCUAAUUUUAUGAAUGUUAAUACUGCUUACAGUAGUUUUUGUCUGAGCUGCCUCUCUUCUAAUUCCCUUGGGUAAAAGCAGCAGGUCCCGCACCUUCCGCUUAGUCUGUAAACACUGCCACCAAAAGAGGUUUACUUGUCUUUUGAGAGGGGGGCCCAACCCGUCAAAAUUGUAGCAUAAAUAAAUUGUGCAAUAUUGGAGGUGUGUCUGACUAAUAGAAUUGUGAAAACCUUUCCGAUCAGAUUUUCUGCUGAAUAUAUUGGCACGGAAAUUAUCUGGCGGUUGAAGAUCUGGAAGAGACAGUGCAGGGAAUCUGAGAAAACGUAAGAGAAAGAGAUGGUGUGAUGGCCAGCACUGAGACUGGGAUAAAUUUGGGAAGCAGGAAGUGUUGCAAUUGCCCGGGCAAAAUUUACAGCACAACUAUGGCAAGAGUGUGGACUGAAAGAGAAGAUGGACUCUGUAGGGUUUGUCUUCAAAGCACUUGGUGGUUGCCUGGAUGCAGAAGAUAAGGGAGAAUUUAAAAGGACUCCCACAAACACAGCUUUCUAACAGUAGAAACAUUUGCAAAGGAGAAAAAGUUCUCAUCACUCCAAGAAUCCAAGUGGAAAGCCAACAUCAUCCUAUCUGUGUUUACCAUAAGAAUAUUUCCUUCUCUAGAGGUAGGUUGAGCUGGCUAUCCUCUUUCCGCAUCUGAGUCUUGCAUGUGCUGACCCGUGUGGUAGAAUAUAUUUGUGUGUAUGUGGGAUGGUGCCACUUAUCAGCAUAUUGUCUCAGCUCCAAAUUCACCUUUUGUUGCCUAUUUGUGAAAAUGGACCUGGGCCCUUUAAAUAUUUGCCCGGUGGUGUGAGAUUCAUCAGUAGCGAGCUCUGGAGCCACGUGACAGGAGGAAGGGGUCCUCUUUCCUGGUUCAGGUGGCUCUUUCACUAGGCUCCUCAGCCAGCGCAGUUUUCUCCCAUGCUAAAUGCCUGCAGGACACAGCUUUCUCCACUGAUUGGCACCCUAUAUUUUCUCCAGCUGUCCACCCGGGCACUGGUGGCUUAGUCGGGAGCGCAAACAGUACAAGCCUGUGCCCCAGCCCAGCUCACUGCUCCUGCACCCUCUCUUCAGCCCCACGGGCAUACACCCUGGGGCCCCACUGGACUGGCUCUCUGGCAAGCAGAUCACCUGGCCUUCAUCCCCGGCAGAGGCUCAGAGCCUCCCAGCCUGGUUGCUUUCUCCUUGGCUCUCUGUGCAUGCACACCAGGGCCCCAGCAGCCACUCUGAGCUGCCCCAGUCCAGGCCGUGCACAGAAGUACACUAGGUUCUUGCAGCUUCUCAGCCUCCUUUCCAGCAGCGCCUCCAGCAGUGCCUUGACCUCCUCUGCUCACUUGCCCUUCAGUCUCAGCUCGCUUGUCCCCCCAGAGGUUUAUUUGCUGCGGCCCUCCAGACACAGGCACUGUGUGGUCCAGGCUUUGUGUCAGCAUCAACACCCUGGCCCUCUGUGCCCAUCCAGCUCCCUCUGUGCACCUGGCUACCAGCUUUGGUUGCCUGCACUCCAGAGGGUUAUUCCUGCUUGCUGGUGAUGGUAGACCUGCUCUGGCCCGUGCAAAUCCCCCUUACCCUGACUUUUCCACCAUCCAGUGGGCUGUAGCAACUUCUCCAGUGAGGGCUGAACCCCAGCCUUGGGGAGGGAACCUUCCAGCUUUAUACUUCCUUAGCACUCUCCCUCAGCUGAGGGUUUCAUUCGAUAUUUACAGUUGCUCCCCUAUCAUUGCAUAAUAAUUCUUUAUGUUAAAUUUCCCAUUUAAAUUACUGUCUGGUUUCUGUCUCCUCAUUGGACCCAGAUUGACAGAGAUGUGAAUGUGCAUGUGUGCAGUUUUUAUUUGAAGGCAAAGAGGUGAAUUUUUGACUGCAUCUAUUCAGUGAACACAGCAAUAAGCCAAAAGAAACAAUGCAAGUCAAAGUUAUUAUCAGCACCAGCUGGGGCUAUGGCCCUGAACCCAGACCCAGAAAUAUGAUGGUCUACAUCUGGGAAUGGCAAACUACAGAUCUGUCCUGCCACCUCUUUUUGUAUGGCCUGUGAACUAAGUAUAGUUUUUACAUUUUAAAUGGUUGAAAAGAAUGAAAAGAAUAAUAUUUUGUGAUACAUUUGUGUUCAUAAAUAAAGUUAUAUUUGUAACACAGCCACACAUUUGUUAGUAUUGCCUAUAGUUGCUUUCAUCCUACUUACAGGGAUUGAGUUAAGUAAUUGUGAUGGAGACCAUAUGGCUCACAAACCCAAAAUACUAUCUGACCUUGAGCAGAAAAAGUUUGCCAAUCCCCAAUCUAGACUGAACCUUGAGAACACUUUAGCAAACAAAAGGCCAAAUGAACAGCCGAUUUAACUCCCAGCUCUGGCAUUCAUGACCCCCCCUUUUUUUGUUUUUAGAAAUUGACAAGCUGAUUCUGAAAUUUAUGCGGAAUUGCAAGGGAUUCAGAGCAGCCAAAACAAUCUUGAAAAAGAAAAACAAAGUUGGAGGACUCAUUUUUUUGUUAUUUCAAAACUUAGUACAAAGCAAUGGUACUGACUUAAAGAUAGACAUAGAGAUCAAUGGAAUAGAAUUGAGAGGUCAGAAAUAAAACCAUGUGUCUA
ensembl:lncRNA